UUUAUUAAAGUCAGAGCAUUCACUGAUUUCACACGCACUCACGCUGCUCCGCUGUUUCUCACGCUGUCAGACAUCAUCAGUGUUAGGCAGCAGAGCGUUACAAAUCUAACAACAUUCUCAGUGGCAUGGUGGUGACAUCACUCCUGUCUGAGUCUGCUCAGUAGUGAAGAUGAUUAUCUGACAGAGUUGUGCAGCAGAAAAGACUCUGAGCUGUGGAGGUCUGGAUAAAAGUCAGGAUAAUAAAACUGAGGAUGAGUCACGUGACUGACGCCAGCGCCACACUGAGGCAUGUCGACGAUAGGGUUACGUCUGUUAAUGACAUCAUCACUGAUGUAACAUGUCUCCUGUCUCAGCUGAUCGGGGUGUCUCUGUCUUGCUGUCUGUCUCGUCUCAUCAACGCCAACCAGUACGAGAUGGUGUGACAGAAAAGAGACGACGAUACCUGUUACCAUGGAAACCUGUCUGACGCUACUGACGUAUUUAUUUGAGCUCUGGUUCUGAUGUUCCGUCAGAGUGACGUUGUGUGUGACGUUGUGUGUGACAUCCUGUGGAGGAUCAGGAGAGGAAGACAUGGAUAAUAAUUAUAUUAAUAAUAAUAACAUGAAAUAAACAUGUUGAUGUGAGA